ACAUGAAUUAACCAUAGCUAUACAUUUGUCUCCUUCCUCUUGAAUCUCCCUCCCACCUCCUGCCUAUUCCCACUACUCUAGGUUAUUACAGAGUCCUAGUUUGAGUUCUCCAAGUCAUACAGAAAAUUCCCGUUGACUAUCUAUUUACGUAUGUAGUCAUGAACAGAGGAGCUUGGCAGGCUAUGGUCCAUAGGGUUGAAAAGAGUCAGACACAACUGAAGCAGCUUAGCACAGCACAUGGUUAAAAUGGUCCUUUAAAAAAUAAUCAUGGAGUUUCAGCAGAAGUAAUACACUAAUACAGUAGGUUUCAGAUACCCCACGUUAAAAAGUGAGAUGUGAACCACCUGUGCAGAAUGCAUGACCUGAUACAGAAACGGGUCAGCGUGACCACACCUGGUGAGCAUUGGAGAGAUGAGAACAUUGAAAAGGUGAGUUGCUUCUCACCUACUAAAGUGAGACAAGGAAUUUCAGAAGAUCUUCUUGGAGGACUUGAUAUUUAUCCCCUGGAGUCUGCUGAACUCAGAGUGGAGGCCUGUUUCUUUCCAGGAGAAAUCCUGAGGAAAAAAAAAAAAAGAAAGAAACCAGUUCUUGGAAUCCAGCCACCACGCUGAGAGGAAGCCUGAGCAGCCGUGUGGAGAGGAACUAAGGUCCCUGACUGAGAGCCCUGGGCAAGCUCCCAGCCUGAAGCCAGCGUUAGUUGACCAGCUGUUAGUGAGUCACCUGGGAAGUGAAUACCACCAGUCCACUGAUGCCGUGUGGAGCAUAGAGAUCUUAAAAUUGUAUUGAUCUCAAGCUCCUCAAAGCCUGGAUCUACCCCUGGUUUUUUGCACUUUCCAUUACUGGCUGGUGGGAGGUGACAUUUCCAGGUUUUCUUGAGAUUAAUAUAGCAGGAAAACAAAUGGAUGGGUUACAGGUGACCCCUUGGCUGCAACCGCCUGCUCACCUCUCCACAUCCUGUUAGCCCUUGGUCAUCUUCCAAAACUCAACGGUGACAUCUUUUCUCCGGAAAGCAUACUCGAAAAUCCAAUGUGAAGUAAUCCUCUUUUAUGCUCCAUCACAUCCUGUGCAAACCUCUAUAUAUUGAAAUUUUAUUGACAGUUUUGUGUCUCUAUUUCACUAGGCUAUAAAGUUUUUUGAGAAAAGGACUAUUUUGUAUUCAUCUUAGUUCCCUCAACAUGAAGCCCAGUGCCUUCCAUUUGGUAAAUGAUUUAAAAUGCUCAUUAAAUUGUUUUUGGGUUAAACUGAUACACUUAACAGUUUUAUGUAAGAUUUCCUUUGGCUGAAAGUUUUAGGUAAUUGGCCAGGUUAUGGAAAAAACUGUGGAAGGAUUCUUAAUUUAGAUACUCUCUGUGUCACUUAUAGGUUGGAAGCAGGUUUUAGGAGCAAAUGGUGUGUUAAGGUCCAAAGGGACAGAUAGACCAAUGGUUCAGCUUAGUUUUUAGGAUACUGGCUAGAAGUUUCUGGGAACUGCUAGCAUUGCCAGAUUUAUAGGAUUGUUGUUAUCAUGUAGUAACAUGUACUAUGAAUGCAUUUUGAUAAUUAGAAAUAUAGAUACCUUUAUGUGUAAAUUAUCAGUAAUAAUUAAUGCUCAUCAGAUUAAGAAAUUCACUGCCUAUGAGGCCCUUCCAAUUCUAGACCUCACCCCUAUAAACAAAUUAGAAUAAAAUUUUUUUUAACUUUCCCAUACCUGACAAAUUAGACUGUUACUUGGUCGUGUUGGUUGUCUGUAACUGCAAAAACUGAACCCAUCAUCUGACCAUCUGAAUUGCUUUUGAAAAAAGCCCAAACACUUUGCAUUAACAUGCUCUCUUGGUCAUUUUAGUCAAUUUCCUGAGAGUCUAAGAAUCCAAAGAAAGAAACGAAAAAGUCAUUUCUCUGAAGAAACACGAGGUUAACAUGAAAUGCACAAUACUUCAAUUGUCUCUUCUCUCUGCUAAAUACGUCAUCCUGAAUGGAUCCAUUGGCUGUGAGGAGGUGUAUGCACAUUACAAAUCUUUUUUUUUUUUUUAAUGUAAUUUAAUACUCUCCACGGAUCCAUUUUUCUGAAAUGGGGUAAUAUGCUUCUUUUUAGGCAAAUGUGUUUGCUCUUCUGAUUUUCCAUUCAUUUGGUGGGUUUUGGCACCAAAAUUCUGAGCAGCUGGACCUCUAAUUUAAGGAACCUAUAAUGCACACAUUCCUGGAAAUGAAGCAUUUUGUGUUUAGAAAGAAGUGGAUUUAUUUGACAUUCAAGAGUUUCUGGUUUGUUUAGAGAGACUGACGUAAGGACACCAAGAAGGAACAAAUCAUAAAGUUUAGGGAUAAAAAGGAUUUUAUAGCUUAAGGAUACCUGCAGUAUAUUAUCUUGUCCCAUUUUUAAUUCACUAAUUCAAGAAAUACUAGAUGAAUACCUGCUAUUUGCCAGGCAUACUACUAGAU
ensembl:lncRNA